GAGCUUAACACCGUAAUACUCUUAUCAUAGAAAUAGAAGCAGUCCUCAAUUCCCGCCCGCUAACUCCUAUCUCCACCGAUCCAAAUGAUCUCCUAGCCCUCACUCCCGGACAUUUCCUCAUUGGCGAUUCAUUAAUGUGCUUACGUGAUCGAGAUUUCAGAGACAUUCCAUCGAACCGACUCUCCAAAUGGCAGCAUAUCCAACAGCUUAAACAACAUUUUUGGAACCGCUGGCAUAAGGAGUAUUUGAACGAGCUAACCAACCGCAAUAAAUGGAGCAAGGGUGGACACAGCAUCCAAAAGGGCACAAUCGUCAUCCUCAGAGAGGACAACGUUCCCUCCAUGCAUUGGCCUCUGGGCCGAGUUAUCAAGGUUCAUUCAGGCGCCGAUGGUGUCAUCCGGACAGCUACAGUUCAGACGGCAAAGAGCAUUUUGGAUCGGGGCGUCAAAAGGCUUGUCCCACUGCCAAUUCAACCCGAUCUCGAGAAACCCGAACAACUAGCCACCGAGACGAAAUAAGAUGGGAACUUCAACCACACCUCCCUAGUUUGAUCGGUACCCUCUCAACGGGGGGGAGAAUGUUACGCCAUGCGGCUUACCAUAGGUCAUAUUCUUAACUAUCGAUCGCGGCACUAUAAUGUCGCAGACGGAUCGUCGCGUCUGCCCGGCAAACAAACAUUGUAGUGGCAAGCGCAUGGUUCAUUAAGCAGGGCGACUUCCAGAAACGUCGACUCGUGGCCCGUAUUUUACCUCGCAGUAAAAGAAUGUGGCGUGAUCCGAACGUAGUGGGGGUCGCCUUCCAGAAAAAACGAAAAAAAUCGAAAGGCGUUCAGAACUUUUCGAGAAGUCGAACCGUCAACACAUGUGGCGCUUGGCCAUGGAUCGCUGCAUUAGGUUUUCGUAAUCCCCGAAACCCAGACAAACCACUAUGGAAGUGCGGAGGUUCCCUGAUAUCGGCUAGGCAUGUUUUGACCGCAGCACAUUGUGCACAUAUGGAUGGAAUAGAAAACAUACACAAUCAUAAUAUUGCCAUUCUUAGAUAGGUGGAGGAGGUGCCAUUUUCGAGUAAGUCCUCAAAUAUAUAUAUAUAUAUGCUAUUGAGUAUUACUGAAGUAUCAUAUCCUGAAAUUUCUUACUGUACACAUAUAUUGUGUCAUAAAGCGUGUACAAUUCUUUCUCAUACUUUUGGUCAUUCGUUUCCUGCAUUUUCAUUUAUUUUUUUAUUUUUCAGGGUACGUAUAUCCCAUUUGUACGAAAGAGCAACUUCGUCGGCUAUAACCCCCUUGUUGCUGGAUGGGGAGCGUUAAGAUAUAGCAAGUGAUAUCAAUUUUAUAAUAAAAUUAAACAGUUCCAGUCUUAAAUAUCUUUCUCAUUUUCUUCGUAGGACGACCACGACCUAAUGCAUUAAUGGAAGUACAAAUGCCAGUGAUUAAGAACGCCGAAUGCAAAAUAGCUUAUUCCAAAUUUCCUAAUGCACCUGAUAUCACUGAUGGUAUAAUAUGCGCCGAACAUGCUCAGGGUGGAGAGGAUUCUUGUACGUAUCUUUGAUUAAAAAUUUAACGAUCCUUUCAGGCUGACCGUGGCGGACCACUGCUGAUACAACAUGAAUUAACCUCGUAUUUAAUAGGUAUUGUGUCUUAUGCUUAUAAGUGUGGCACAGCUGGGUAUCCCAGCGUUUACACUAGGGUCACAUCGUACCUUGACUUCAUUCUCCAAGCGAUGCAAUAAUAUGAUAUUACUGUUCCAUAAAUAUCAUUGUGUAAAAAACGUAAAGUUGGAUUUUCUUAUUGUGGAGAUAAGAAACAGCUCAAAUUUACAUUGUUUUGUACGUUACAAAUUAUAGGCUUAAAAUGUACGAAAUGUAACUUUGAAACGACACUAAUUUUUUACGCACGAUAAACCUCCACGACUUAGGAAAACAGUGCAGGAUGCUGUGAUUCGUUUCUUGUGGUCGGAGGUUAUGUUUGAUGCCUAUAUUUAUCAAAGAUUUAAUGCACAUUAUGGAGAAAGUGUUUUGUCACGAAGUGUGUUUGAAUGGGCACAAAAGUUCAAAGAAGAUCGCACAAGUGUUAUGAAAAAACAGCUGGACGCCCGUCCACAUCCACGAUGACAACAUUGAACGUGCUCAUGAACUUAUGCUCUAUGGAAUAGACGAGUGACACUGGAUAAUGUGGCAAAUCAUUUGCAAAUCAGCCACGGCUCUGCUUAUGCAAUAGUGCACGACAGAUUUGGAUUUUAAAAAGUUUGUGCGAGAUGGAUGCCGAAAAAGCUGAUGAAAAGGUGAAGACGACGAUGCAUUCGUGGUUCGCAGCUCAGCCCAAAACAUUUUUUAAUGAGAAAAUAUAAAGGUCCUUCGGCAAAUGGACAAAAUGUAUACAGAAAUCGAGUGAUUAUGUCAAAAAAUGAUGUAUGUCUUUUUUGACAAUUGCUUAAAAUAAAUUCUACACCGACAGAGCGGGCUGUUAAUCUAGAGGCUGGAGUACAAAGAAGUGGCACAAUGAUGUGGGCUGAUGACAUUUAUAAUUAUCAAGGAAUCACCCCUACAUUCGCUCAGAAUUUUAAUGAAACUGUCCCUUGGGAAGGAAGAACUGAUACCUUGAUAUCACGGUUUGUACAUCCUAUAUAUACGACAAAUUUUAGAACAUUAUAUAACGAAGAACCAGAUCGUCGUGGCCAUGUGAUGUGAAUAAAAGGACUUGAAUUUGAUGAUAUUUUUAUAAUGUUAGAUAACAUAACUAAGUAUCUUCACAGUAAGAUAGGAUGACAUGGUUUACAUGAUCUUAAUGUUGUUCACUCGAGUGAUGAUAUUAUAAGGAAAAGUGUAAUAUCACAGGAUAUUUAUGUUUAGUAACCAGUAAUUCAGAGAUUGGUAUUCAUGGUUACUAUAACGAGGCUGUAGAAACGCACCCUUUCUUCUUUGCAAAUGGUCCUGUAUUUAUGUCUAAGCCGAAACUGGAACCUCUGAAUAAUUUAGAUUUAUUCUUGUUAUUUUCUAAAAUACUUAUCUACAGUAUACCAUAAGGAAUGAUACCGUAUCGCACCUAAUCAAGUGCCUUAAGAAACAUCAACAGGAUAUCACAGUAAUCCCUUAUCGACUGAUAUUUGUAGCCACUACAAUAUCUAUGACACUGGUAGUAAUUAUGAGAACAAUAAUGAUGUGUUCUAUAAGAGGAAAUGAUGAUUAGGAACAAAAACUUACAGAAGAUAUCAUGCGGUGGAUGGAUAAUAUGCAAAAAAUAUUAAGCAGUAUAUGAAUUUUCCUAUUGCGUAGAGAUAACAAAAUGAAUUUUAAAAAAUGUCGACACGGUAAUAAGAAAUAGCAUCAUGACAAAGAAUAUAUAAAGACAGUUUCAUUUUUUAUAAAUAAAAAUUUGUUGUUCCAGAUUUUGAAA